UACGUAGGUGGCAAGCGUUGUCCGGAUUUACUGGGCGUAAAGGGAGCGUAGGCGGACUUUUAGGUGAGAUGUGAAAUACCCGGGCUCAACUUGGGUGCUGCAUUUCAAACUGGAAGUCUAGAGUGCAGGAGAGGAGAAUGGAAUUCCUAGUGUAGCGGUGAAAUGCGUAGAGAUUAGGAAGAACACCAGUGGCGAAGGCGAUUCUCUGGACUGUAACUGACGCUGAGGCUCGAAAGCGUGGGGAGCAAACAGGAUUAGAUACCCU
rnacentral:rRNA from 1 species